rnacentral:misc_RNA from 1 species
UACGAAGGGGGCAAGCGUUGUCCGGAAUUAUUGGGCGUAAAGCGCGCGCAGGCGGUCUCUUAAGUCUGAUGUGAAAGCCCAUGGCUCAACCGUGGAGGGUCAUUUGAAACUGGGAGACUUGAGUGUAGGAGAGGAAAGUGGAAUUGCACGUGUAGCGGUGAAAUGCGUAGAGAUGUGGAGGAACACCAGUGGCGAAGGCGACUUGCUGGCCUAUAACUGACGCUGAGGCGCGAAAGCGUGGGGAGCAAACAGG